GCCAGCAUAGCUUAAUGAAAGCAUAACACUGAAGCUGUUAAGAUGGACCCUAAAAAGUUCUACGGGCA